rnacentral:rRNA from 1 species
UACGUAGGGUGCGAGCGUUAAUCGGAAUUACUGGGCGUAAAGCGCGUGUAGGCGGCUUUGCAAGUCGGAUGUGAAAUCCCACGGCUCAACCGUGGAAGUGCAUCCGAAACUGCAUCGCUGGAGUCUCGGAGAGGAAGGUGGAAUGCUUGGUGUAGAGGUGAAAUUCGUAGAUAUUCGCAAGAACACCAGUGGCGAAGGCGGCUCACUGGCUCGGUACUGACGCUGAGGUGCGAAAGCGUGGGGAGCAAACAGG